rnacentral:rRNA from 1 species
AACGGCCGCGGUAUCCUAACCGUGCAAAGGUAGCAUAAUCACUUGCCUAUUAAUUGUAGGCUAGAAUGAACGGGUUAACGAAAUAAAGACUGUCUCAAUUAAUCACCUAAAAAUUACUAUCUACCUGAAGAAGAGUAGAUAAUCUCGAAGGACAAGAAGACCCUAUAGAGCUUAAUUUUAAUUAUAGAACCACACUAUAAAAAUAUUCGGUUGGGGCGACCCGGGGCUAAUUAAUCACCCACUAUAUAAAAGAUAUAUAAAUCAAAUAAUUGACCCCCAAAAGAUCAUAAGAACAAGCUACCUUAGGGAUAACAGGCUAAUCCCACUCAAGAGUCCUUAUCAACAGUGGGGUUUGGCACCUCGAUGUUGGCUUAGG